UACGUAGGUGGCAAGCGUUGUCCGGAAUUACUGGGUGUAAAGCGCGUGUAGGCGGGAGGCCAAGUCUGCUGUGAAAUCGCCCGGCUCAACUGGGCGGGGUCGGUGGAAAUUGGUCACCUGGAGGACGGUAGAGGCGAGUGGAAUUCCCGGUGUAGUGGUGAAAUGCGUAGAGAUCGGGAGGAACACCAGUGGCGAAGGCGGCUCGCUGGGCCGGACCUGACGCUGAGACGCGAAGGCGUGGGGAGCGAACGGG
rnacentral:rRNA from 1 species